rnacentral:lncRNA from 1 species
GUUUGCUGUAAAAUCUGGUUUUAGUACUUCAACCAUAUAUGGAGAAACUUGAAUCAUCACACAUUCGCAAUAAGCAAUUGUCAAUUGACACCUUAUGGAGUUAUUGCUCAUUAUAGUAAAUUUUCAACAUUUUUUAAAAAUUUUUGUAAUCUUUUUCACAAAUAAAUGUAAACCUAGCCACAAUUUCCAAUAGGCUAUCUUGAUUGAAAACUGUAUCCGACGAC